rnacentral:rRNA from 8 species
AACGACUCUCGGCAACGGAUAUCUCGGCUCUCGCAUCGAUGAAGAACGUAGCGAAAUGCGAUACUUGGUGUGAAUUGCAGAAUCCCGUGAACCAUCGAGUUUUUGAACGCAAGUUGCGCCCCAAGCCUUCUGGCCGAGGGCACGUCUGCCUGGGUGUCACA